rnacentral:rRNA from 1 species
UGGGGAAUAUUGGACAAUGGGCGAAAGCCUGAUCCAGCCAUGCCGCGUGUGUGAAGAAGGUCUUCGGAUUGUAAAGCACUUUAAGUUGGGAGGAAGGGCAGUAAGCGAAUACCUUGCUGUUUUGACGUUACCGACAGAAUAAGCACCGGCUAACUCUGUGCCAGCAGCCGCGGUAAUACAGAGGGUGCAAGCGUUAAUCGGAAUUACUGGGCGUAAAGCGCGCGUAGGUGGUUCGUUAAGUUGAAUGUGAAAGCCCCGGGCUCAACCUGGGAACUGCAUCCAAGACUGGCGAGCUAGAGUAGGGCAGAGAGUGGUGGAAUUUCCUGUGUAGCGGUGAAAUGCGUAGAUAUAGGAAGGAGCACCAGUGGCGAAGGCGACCACCUGGGCUCAUACUGACACUGAGGUGCGAAAGCGUGGGGAGCAAACAGG